CGGGGUGUAGCUCAAUUGGCUAAAGCACUCGGUUCGGGACUGAGAAAUCGCUGGUUCAAAUCCAGUCGCCCCGA
rnacentral:tRNA from 1 species